rnacentral:rRNA from 1 species
CCUACGGGUGGCAGCAGGGAGGAAUAUUGGUCAAUGGGCGGAAGGCUGAACCAGCCAAGCCGCGGGAGGGAGGAAGGCGCAGAGGGUGGCAGACCUCUUUUGCCGGGGGACAAAAGGCCGGACUCGUCCGGUCCUGAGGGUACCCGGAGAAAAAGCAACGGCUAACUCCGUGCCAGCAGCCGCGGUAAUACGGGGGAUGCGAGCGUUAUCCGGCUUCAUUGGGGUUAAAGGGUGCGCAGGCGGGCCUUUAAGCCGGCGGUAAAAUCGCGGGGCUCAACCCCGCCGCGCCGUCGGAACUGGGGGCCUUGAGUGCGGCAGAGGCAUGCGGAAUGCGCGGUGUAGCGGUGACAUGCAUAGAUAUCGCGCAGAACCCCGAUUGCGAAGGCAGCGUGCCGUGCCGCCACUGACGCUGAGGCACGAAAGCGCGGGGAUCGAACAGGAUUAGAUACCCUUGUAGUC